rnacentral:rRNA from 1 species
GUUGAACGCUGGCGGCAUGCCUUACACAUGCAAGUCGAACGGUAACGGGCCUUCGGGUGCCGACGCGUGGCGAACGGGUGAGUAAUACAUCGGAACGUGCCCGAUCGUGGGGGAUAACGAGGCGAAAGCUUUGCUAAUACCGCAUACGAUCUACGGAUGAAAGCAGGGGACCGCAAGGCCUUGCGCGGACGGAGCGGCCGAUGGCAGAUUAGGUAGUUGGUGGGAUAAAAGCUUACCAAGCCGACGAUCUGUAGCUGGUCUGAGAGGAUGAUCAGCCACACUGGGAGUGAGACACGGCCCAGACUCCUACGGGAGGCAGCAGUGGGGAAUUGUGGACAAUGGGCGCAAGCCUGAUCCAGCCAUGCCGCGUGCAGGAUGAAGGCCUUCGGGUUGUAAACUGCUUUUGUACGGAACGAAAAGCCUUCUUUUAAUACAGGAGGGUCAUGACGGUACCGUAAGAAUAAGCACCGGCUAACUACGUG